UGCCAGCAGCCGCGGUAAGACAGAGGGUGCAAACGUUGUUCGGAAUUACUGGGCAUAAAGAGCACGUAGGCGGCUCAUCAAGUCACGCGUGAAAUCCCCCGGCUCAACCGGGGAACUGCGUGCGAUACUGAUGGGCUUGAGGUCGGUAGGGGUGAGUGGAACUCCAGGUGGAGCGGUGAAAUGCGUAGAUAUCUGGAGGAACACCGGUGGCGAAGGCGGCUCACUGGCUCGAUACUGACGCUGAGGUACGAAAGUGUGGGGAGCAAACAGGAUUAGAUA
rnacentral:rRNA from 1 species